rnacentral:lncRNA from 1 species
ACAAAUAGUAAUUUGGACAGAUAUUUUUCUUAAUCUUCCAUGACUGGAUAAUGUGUUACCAAUGCCUUUUCAUGUUGCCAAAGGUUUACAAUCAACAAAUGCACACCACCUCCAAUUCACUCUCUUUUCCCCAUUUGGAAGAUGUGUUCGACACUAUAAACCAAUGGCUGGUCAGAGAAAUUGUCGAUUUGGCAUUGUUCGACUCCUAUAUUUAGACCGAAGAAGUAACAAACCUUGAUUAAAACAUACCCGUGGCUAAUCCCUAAGAAAACAUAUAAUAAAGAUAAACGAACACCCAAGUUCUCAUUAAUAGAAAUAAAUUGAAGUUUGCUCAAAUGUCAUGAGUCCUCAACUUCCCAUAUCAAAUCCUCUAUACAUUUAAGACAGAUGAUUUCCGUAAAAUAAUACAAUCCUGUUACCAGCAUACUUGAUGCAAAUAGAUAUGAACUUACAAAAAGUCUAUUUUAGGUAUGAUUAUUAUUUAAGACAAAGAGAAUGAAUAUUCCUUUUAAAUAAAGCUUGAAAUCCUUUUCCACAUCUUAUUAUUUUGUCGAAAUAAUUAAUUUAGCAUAGAAGCCCCAAGUCGGGACCGAAGAAUUAUAUUAUUUAAGGGAGAUUAUCAAUUUACUGAGUAUUAAUUUAAAGAGGUUCUACUGUAUAACUGAACUGAGGGUGACAUCUGGUAUUGACAGCCAACAAUUUAAGAAGUAUAGGAUUAUCGACCUAAACAACAUUAUUGGUUUUAAACGAUCUAUGAGUGUCGUAUAUGUCUGUUCACAUGGUGACAUAAUCUGGAUAGAUGUGCAAACUGAUCGAGUUGAAUACAAAAUGCACAACAUCAUAUAAUGCCUUUGG